rnacentral:rRNA from 1 species
AGGACGAACGCUGGCGGCGUGCUUAACACAUGCAAGUCGAGCGGAAAGGCCCUUCGGGGUACUCGAGCGGCGAACGGGUGAGUAACACGUGAGCAACCUGCCCUUAGCUCCGGGAUAGCUCCGGGAAACCGGAAUUAAUACCGGAUACGACCACGGCCGACAUCUGCUGUGGUGGAAAGGAUUCCGGCUAAGGAUGGGCUCGCGGCCUAUCAGCUAGUUGGUGGGUAAUGGCCCACCAAGGCGACGACGGGUA